GUUGGUCAAGAUUCAUUUGUAGAGCUCUCAAAUUCUUCAAAUCAAUGUUUCAAUAUCCUUUGCAGUGGAGAUAAAGAUGGGGUUUUGUGCUUCAGUAUAUUUGGUGUCUUUCCAAUCGGAAAUAUUUUUUUCUUGAUCAAUGGAUUUGAUGGCAGACUGGCAGUUAAUCAGUAAACAACUAUUGCCUGGAAAGUAAUGGGCUGGUUAAGUAAACAACUAUACUAGGUGAAGUUAUGCUUGUAAAAGUUCUAGAUGUUUAUGCCAUUUCCAAAGCUUGAUU